rnacentral:rRNA from 1 species
GUGGCGGACGGGUGAGGAAUGCGUCGGAAUCUGCCUUUUCGUGGGGGAUAACGUAGGGAAACUUACGCUAAUACCGCAUGCGACCCUGUCCCGGGAGGGGCUGGGUGAAAGCGGGGGACCUUCGGGCCUCGCGCGGAAAGAUGAGCCGACGCCGGAUUAGCUAGUUGGCGGGGUAACGGCCCACCAAGGCGACGAUCCGUAGCUGGUCUGAGAGGAUGAUCAGCCACACUGGAACUGAGACACGGUCCAGACUCCUACGGGAGGCAGCAGUGGGGAAUAUUGGACAAUGGGCGCAAGCCUGAUCCAGCCAUGCCGCGUGAGUGAAGAAGGCCUUCGGGUUGUAAAGCUCUUUUGUUGGGAAAGAAAAGCUUCCGGUUAAUAACCGGGGGUUAUGACGGUACCCAAAGAAUAAGCACCGGCUAACUUCGUGCCAGCAGCCGCGGUAAUACGAAGGGUGCAAGCGUUACUCGGAAUUACUGGGCGUAAAGCGUGCGUAGGUGGUGGUUUAAGUCUGAUGUGAAAGCCCUGGGCUCAACCUGGGAAUGGCAUUGGAAACUGGAUCACUGGAGUGCGGUAGAGGAUGGCGGAAUUCCCGGUGUAGCAGUGAAAUGCGUAGAGAUCGGGAGGAACAUCCGUGGCGAAGCGGCCAUCUGGACAGCACUGACACUGAGCACGAAAGCGUGGGAGCAACAGAUAGAUACCCUGGUAGUCACGCCCUAACGAUGCGAACUGGAUGUGGGGCA